AGCCGAGUGCUGGUGGCAGACUGAGGGAGAAAGAAUAACCCCAGCAUUGUGGAACACAGGGGUCUGCCAGUGCUGGUGAAGCCUUUUUUGAGAAGCACAGAGAAAAUCUGCCAUCCCAAACCCAUCUCCUUCCCACUGGCCACCAGCCUGAGCAGGAGCUGUGUACAGGUGCUCCAUCCCAGCUCUGACUUCUGCUGGAUAUUUCCAUAUUCCUGGU